rnacentral:tRNA from 1 species
AACCCAAUAGGUUAAUUAAACUGUAUAAAUUGCAUUUAUAAGUUAGAGGGUUGGGUAA